CGCCGCGUACCGGGCACCCGCGCCGGCGCCGCGCAGGACGGACUGCGCACGGCCCAACCACUUGCUGCCGCGGCCCGCGCCGGCCGCGCCCACCUGCCCCGCGGGGCCCGCCCCCCGCCGUCUCCUCUCGGUCACCCACGGUGACAAGUGCGCCACCGCCUUGGGGUCACUCGGGGCGUGGGGGAAGCGUCCAGGAACGGCGGCCCCCCCCCCCGCAGCUAGCUAGUCUGUCCCCAACUGCGGCGCCAAGGGAAACCUUGGGUCGUGGAACCCGGCCCCUCCGAAGGCCAGCCUGAGAGUGGGACCCUGGCGACCUUUAAAUAGGAAGGGAGUCCGUUGUGCUUCUCUUCCUCCUCCACGCUCGGAGGAGGGGAUGCGGGCGACCCGAUGGGGAAAACGUCCAAGCCGGGAAAGAGGACGCUGCAGCCCUACCGGGAGGGGACACAAUGCUUUCCCGGCACCAGGAGUGGCAAAGGCCACGUUAACUUGAGAGUCAUACUCAGCAUUUACAAAAUAAGAGUCCAAGGGGCGAAGGGGGAGCUGUGCAGUUGGCAGGAGUAACACGCCCCAUCCUUCUAGUUUUGACCCGGAGCUAAUUGGCAUCACCUGAUAGAACACAGAAUCUCAAACUUCUCAGAAAAUUGUCUAAUGAAAUCAUAAUCUGCUUUGGUAAUUUAUAAUACAGUUAUUGAGAGCUAAGGAAAAAGCAAUUAUUCACUUUUGCCCAAUAGUUCCCCUAAGAGAAUGCCUGGCUGUCUAAUGUAUCAUGCGGGAGAUGGCGAUAACUAACUUCUUUCCCAGGUAAGAAGCAGAGCAGUGUUGGUUUGCAGCCAGUUCUAGCAUUGGAAAGCUUGUCUUAUUGGAGAGGUGAGGGGAUCUGAUGCCCUCCUGAACUGUGAAGCAAGAGAAACGCAGGUUUGCCUGUGAGCUGUGUGUGCCUGUAUGCUGUAUUUGUGAAGGCUGUGCUUAUGGUGGACAUUAUGUCACACGGUGCGAUGCAUUACCAAUGUUCAUAAGUCUGCAUACACACGUCUUAAAUCAUUAAGCCACCCGUGAUUAAUAGUGCCUGCGACCUCCUUUCAGACUCUUCCCAGGAAUAAACUUCGAGGUUUGAGGGAAAAGUAAAUGUUGUUUGUUUGUUUGUUUGUUUGUUUUUGAUGCUCACUGAAAAUCUUAUGUUUCUUAAAAAAAAAAAAAAAAACCUACAAUAAUAGAUGCUCUUAAAUUGCAGGUCAAAACGAGUUGAGUUUCUUCGGUGCUGUGGUAUAACUUUUAUCUUCAACCCGAGCUUAAAAGUAUUUAAUUUUUAAGGCUGGAUGACACCCUGCAAUACAGUCUUCUGAGUGUUCAGACAUUCUCUCUGCUAAACAAAUCUAUCCUGUUAGCCAGAGCCUGACACCUGAACCACACUAUUAAAAAUGCAUUCCCUUGUGUCUAAGAAUGUUUGUGUUAGAAGUCAGGAUACCCUCCUUCCCUUGGGGAUACUUCUCUUGGGGUUGGGGGAGGUGCUGGUGACAAUCCAGUUCUUAAUGCCAGCGCUAAUUACCCGUCAAGGGUCACUUUGAAAAUCUAUGUGGUUACACUGCUUCUCCGUGUUUUAUACUGAAGGAUCUACCUAAAAGACUUCAAAUGCCCUAAGUUUCUAGGUGUUUCUUCUAUGUGGAAACGCACAGAAGCUGAGACUGUUAUCUGCUAGCUCUACUCAUUAGAAGGCCAUAGGACCUCCCUCAAAUCCCCAAGAGAUCUUGUUUUCCUGUUUCUCUUCCCCACCCGAACACUCUUUGUUGAUGAUAUCAACAUUUGUGGCUGUGAAUUUCUUUUUUGUUGUUUGUUUCCCUAAGCAAAAAACUAGAGCCCCAGCCUUUAAAAUUACACCAGUUAAUGCCCUAAGAUUCCUGUAACCAGAGCUUGAGUCUUCACACGUCACACAAACAUCUGCUUACAUAAGCAUUCGGUCAUCCCUGAGUGAGUGAGCUGUAUGAAACAGAUCCCUCACAACAAUGAUUCAGAGCCACUGAGUCCAGCUUGGUGUAGAAGGUAACAGUAAAAUAAGCCGGGAAUGGAACAUGAGGGAUGGGAGGGGGGAGAGGCAGGGGAGGCAACUGAACCCUCCUUACCGGGCAGAGUUCCUCAAAAAGUGACACUCGAAUCCACAUCAAUUGUGUGCACAAAUAGUUUCGCGAUUCUCCAUAGCCUGAAGAUGGUUGGGAACAACCCAGUAGUAAACCAACAUACAACUAAAAUGUGGGGUACCUACCCAGUGGAAUGAUGUUCUCAUGCAUGCUACAAUGUGGAUGGACGGUGGAAACAUGCUAAGUGAAAGGCCAGUCACAGAAGGCACACACUAUACCAUGCUAUUUUGAUGGAAUGUCUACAGCAAACAAAUCCAUAGGGACAGACAGGUGAUAAAAGUACUCUACAAUUGAUUGUUGUGACGGCUGCACAGUCCUCUGAAUAUAUGACAAAACGCUGAACUCUAGGUUUUGUUUGAAUGGACAAAUUGUACACAUGAUAUGUGAAUUAUAUCUCGGUAAAGUUGUUACAAAAUUAGGAAGAAUCUGUAGAAAACUUGAGCCAGAUGCCUUAUCAAUAUAGGUGAAUGUUCAAGUUAACAAUUAGUUACACUGUAUCGCUUCAACGGUAUGCAGCGACCAAUUGUCCUCAGGAUCAAAAUCAAUUCCGAGAAGGUUCGGUUAACUCCCACCCACCUUCCUCCCUCCACCCGAUCCAUCACUCAAGUUCCAGUCCCUUCCUUACAGCCUUCUACUCGAAAGAGACCCACUCUCUGGACACUGUUCAACUCACGCUUUGGUUUCUUCCACACUCAACAGGCCCACCCUGCAAAGCUAAUUAGAGGAUGCUGUUCCUGUCACAGUGGAAGCUGCUGAAGAAACUCUCCUCAGAGCAUGUUCCCUGACAACCUGCCUCCAGCUGUUCUAUUUUACGAAAAGGCAAGACAUUCUCUGAGUUUAGAGACCCCUGUGGACUCUCAAACCCUCUGGAGCAUCUUCUCAAGAUGGCAACUCAAGCCAACUGCCUUAAAAAUUGUGCUUCAUGAUGACAAUGCAGCCACUCCUGAUGUGAUCUGAUAGACUAAGAUCAGAAGGAAGGAGAGGAGGACCUCCCUUAUCAGUGAACUAGGAGAGGAG